CGCGUGCCUAAACUGCAAGUCGAACGCACGAAGUUGAAGAGCUUGCUCUUUAACCAGUGAGUGGCGGACGGGUGAGUAACACGUGGGUAACCUGCCCAUUAGAGGGGGAUAACAUUCGGAAACGGAUGCUAAUACCGCAUAGUUUCAGGAAUCGCAUGAUUCUUGAAGGAAAGGUGGCUUCGGCUACCACUAAUGGAUGGACCCGCGGCGUAUUAGCUAGUUGGUGAGGUAAUGGCUCACCAAGGCAAUGAUACGUAGCCGACCUGAGAGGGUGAUCGGCCACACUGGGACUGAGACACGGCCCAGACUCCUACGGGAGGCAGCAGUAGGGAAUCUUCCGCAAUGGACGAAAGUCUGACGGAGCAACGCCGCGUGAGUGAAGAAGGUUUUCGGAUCGUAAAACUCUGUUGUUAAAGAAGAACAAGGAUGAGAGUAACUGCUCAUCCCCUGACGGUAUUUAACCAGAAAGCCACGGCUAACUACGUGCCAGCAGCCGCGGUAAUACGUAGGUGGCAAGCGUUGUCCGGAUUUAUUGGGCGUAAAGCGAGCGCAGGCGGUUCUUUAAGUCUGAUGUGAAAGCCCCCGGCUCAACCGGGGAGGGUCAUUGGAAACUGGAGAACUUGAGUGCAGAAGAGGAGAGUGGAAUUCCACGUGUAGCGGUGAAAUGCGUAGAUAUGUGGAGGAACACCAGUGGCGAAGGCGACUCUCUGGUCUGUAACUGACGCUGAGGCUCGAAAGCGUGGGGAGCAAACAGGA
rnacentral:rRNA from 1 species